GUCGAGGCAGGUUACCUGUCUUUUCCCCUUGCUUCAAGUAUUAUCACCCUUGUUUUUUUGCGCACUCAUGUUUCCUCGGCAGGCUUGCCUGCCGGUUGGACAACCUAUAAAACCUUUUUAAUUUUCAAUCAGCGUCUGAAAUAAUUUAAUAAUUACAACUUUCAACAACGGAUCUCUUGGUUCUGGCAUCGAUGAAGAACGCAGCGAAAUGCGAUAAGUAGUGUGAAUUGCAGAAUUCAGUGAAUCAUCGAAUCUUUGAACGCACAUUGCGCCCCUUGGUAUUCCAUGGGGCAUGCCUGUUCGAGCGUCAUUUGUACCUUCAAGCUUUGCUUGGUGUUGGGUGUUUUGUCCUUUUCUUGCAAAUGGACUCGCCUUAAAGUAAUUGGCAGCCAGUGUUUUGGUUUUGAAGCGCAGCACAAGUCGCGAUUCAAGCCGGUAACACCAGCUUCCAUCAAGCCUUUUAUCACUUUUGACCUCGGAUCAGGUAGGGAUACCCGCUGAACUUAAGCAUAUCAAUA
rnacentral:rRNA from 1 species